rnacentral:rRNA from 1 species
UCAUCUGGAAAGAUGAAUCAAAGAAGGUAAUAAUCCUGUAGUCGAAAAUGUUGUCUCUCUUGAGUGGAUCCUGAGUACGACGGAGCACGUGAAAUUCCGUCGGAAUCUGGGAGGACCAUCUCCUAAGGCUAAAUACUCUCUAGUGACCGAUAGUGAACCAGUACCGUGAGGGAAAGGUGAAAAGCACCCCGGAAGGGGAGUGAAAUAGAACCUGAAACCGUGUGCUUACAAGUAGUCAGAGCCCGUUAAUGGGUGAUGGCGUGCCUUUUGUAGAAUGAACCGGCGAGUUACGAUUUGAUGCAAGGUUAAGCAGUAAAUGUGGAGCCGUAGCGAAAGCGAGUCUGAAUAGGGCGUUUAGUAUUUGGUCGUAGACCCGAAACCAGGUGAUCUACCCUUGGUCAGGUUGAAGUUCAGGUAACACUGAAUGGAGGACCGAACCGACUUACGUUGAAAAGUGAGCGGAUGAACUGAGGGUAGCGGAGAAAUUCCAAUCGAACCUGGAGAUAGCUGGUUCUCUCCGAAAUAGCUUUAGGGCUAGCCUCAAGUGAUGAUUAUUGGAGGUAGAGCACUGUUUGGACGAGGGGCCCCUCUCGGGUUACCGAAUUCAGACAAACUCCGAAUGCCAAUUAAUUUAACUUGGGAGUCAGAACAUGGGUGAUAAGGUCCGUGUUCGAAAGGGAAACAGCCCAGACCACCAGCUAAGGUCCCAAAAUAUAUGUUAAGUGGAAAAGGAUGUGGCGUUGCCCAGACAACUAGGAUGUUGGCUUAGAAGCAGCCAUCAUUUAAAGAGUGCGUAAUAGCUCACUAGUCGAGUGACACUGCGCCGAAAAUGUA